rnacentral:misc_RNA from 1 species
UCACAGUUUGCACUGGCAGUCUUGUUAGAGUUCCCGACUUGACUCGCUGGCAACUAACAACAGGGGUUGCGCUCGUUAUAGGACUUAACCUGACACCUCACGGCACGAGCUGACGACAACCAUGCAGCACCUUGUAAUCUGCCCGAAGGAAAAACCGUUUCCGGUCCUGUCAGACUACAUUUAAGCCUUGGUAAGGUUCCUCGCGUAUCAUCGAAUUAAACCACAUGCUCCACCGCUUGUGCGGGCCCCCGUCAAUUCCUUUGAGUUUCAUUCUUGCGAACGUACUCCCCAGGUGGGAUACUUAUCACUUUCGCUUAGCCACUGAGUCUUGCGACCCAACAGCUAGUAUCCAUCGUUUACGGCGUGGACUAC